CAACAUUUCAGUGUUAAAACUGGAGCCUGCCCUGCUGUAGGUACGGGAAGGGGCGUUUGACGUUUCGAUUCAGUGUAGCAAAAUGGCGCUGAAAGCCGUGGUUGGACAAAAAAUUAUGAAUGAAGUCAUUCGUAACAAGAAAAAGGGACAAGGUAUUGAGUGGCGAGUUCUAGUUGUUGAUCAGCUUGCCAUGAGGAUGGUGUCAGCAUGCUGUAAAAUGCAUGAAAUAUCUGCUGAAGGUAUCACAAUUGUGGAGGAUAUAAAUAAAAAGAGAGAACCUCUGUCUACAAUGGAGGCCGUGUACUUGAUCACACCAAGUGAAAAAUCUGUACACGCAUUAAUGCAGGACUUCGCCAGUCCUAAUCGCACCAUGUAUCGUGCUGCCCAUGUGUAUUUCACUGAAGCAUGCCCAGAGGAGCUGUUUAACAAAUUGUGUCGUGCAACUGUUGCGAAGUUCAUAAAAACUUUGAAGGAAAUUAAUAUUGCAUUUGUAGCAUACGAGGAACAGGUAUUUUCUCUGGAUUCACCUGAUACAUUUCAAUGCUUCUACAAUCCCUCCUGUGCUGGUGGUCGAAAUGCAAACAUGGAACGUAUUGCUGAACAAAUAGCAACCUUGUGUGCUACUCUUGGAGAGUACCCGUCAGUCAGAUAUCGAUGUGAUUUUGACAAGAAUGUUGAAUUAGCCCAACUAGUUCAACAGAAAUUAGAUGCAUAUAAGGCAGAUGAACCUACAAUGGGUGAAGGACCAGAAAAAGCUCGUUCCCAGCUUUUGAUUUUGGAUAGAGGAUUCGACUGUGUCUCACCAUUACUUCAUGAACUAACACUGCAAGCAAUGGCAUAUGAUUUACUACCAAUAGAAAAUGAUGUCUAUAAGUAUGAAGCAACAGCAGGGGCACCAGAAAAAGAGGUGCUGCUGGAUGAAAAUGAUGAAUUGUGGGUUGAGCUCAGACAUCAACACAUUGCUGUUGUUUCACAGAAUGUUACAAAGAAUCUCAAGAAGUUCAUUGAUUCCAAACGAAUGCCACAGGGUGAUAAGCAGUCAAUGAGGGACCUAUCACAGAUGAUAAAGAAGAUGCCACAAUACCAGAAAGAGUUAAGCAAGUACUCAACACAUCUUCACUUGGCUGAAGACUGUAUGAAAGCUUAUCAAGGAUAUGUAGACAAACUGUGCAAAGUAGAACAGGAUCUUGCAAUGGGCACUGAUGCAGAAGGAGAGAGGAUAAAAGAUCACAUGCGAAAUAUAGUGCCUGUGCUUCUUGAUCAAGGUGUGACGAAUUAUGAUAAAAUGCGUAUUAUUCUGCUUUAUAUAAUAUCAAAGAAUGGCAUAAGCGAAGAGAACCUUAACAAACUUGUCCAACAUGCCCAAAUUAAUCCAUCUGAAAAGCAGACCAUUAUUAAUAUGGCCAACUUGGGUGUUAAUGUUGUUGUUGAUGGGACACGCAAGAAAUUCUACCAGGUUCCCCGGAAAGAACGUAUUACUGAACAGACAUACCAAAUGUCACGUUGGACACCAGUCAUCAAGGACAUAAUGGAAGAAUGUAUUGAAGAUAAAUUGGAUCCAAAACAUUUUCCAUUUUUGGCAGGAAGAGCUGCUCCAUCUGGCUACCAUCCACCAACAAGUGCGAGGUAUGGCCAUUGGCAUAAAGAUAAAGGUCAACAAGCUGUAAAGAAUGUUCCUCGUCUAAUUGUCUUCAUUGUUGGUGGUGUGUGCUUCUCAGAAAUACGCUGUGCUUAUGAAGUAACCAACACUGUAAAGAACUGGGAAGUCAUUAUUGGCUCUUCUCACAUUAUGACGCCAGAGGACUUCCUCAGUAAUCUUACGAAUUUGAGCUAAUCUGUUAGCACAGUAUAUCUAGCCUGCCCAAAAAGGUUAGCAUGUGUGUUUCUGCCGAAAUAGGAACUUUAUGUUGAUGGGGUGAAAAGUCACCAGAUCUAUCAAUAUUAUGUGAAAGAUAAAUGUAAUUCCAGUGUUAGGAUUUGUACUCAAGUCUGUAUUGUAGUCAGUUGCCUUAAAACAAGAGCUCUGUAGCUCUUGUUGCAUUUAUCAUAUUAAAGUAUUUUUUAAGAUAGCAUACAAGUUUGUAAAAAAUUCUUGUAAUUCAUAAUUUGUGUGUGUGUGUAAAAUAUUUAGAUAACAUAAUUAUGCCAUAUACAGGCUCAUUAAUGAAAGGAAAGAAAGCUUAUAGAUAUACCAGUAUGAAUUACUUGGAUUGUAAGAUUGCUAGAAAAAAUGCCUUCAAGCAAAAUGUAGGAACUUUCAGACUUAUUUAAGUGUCCUUUUGUGCAGAGGCAGUUAAUGAAUAGUAGAGUUUGUCUUCUGCAAAGCAAAUGUCCCUUUAACCUCUCUGGUCUUUUGGGCAUUCUGACUAUAUUAACUAAAAAGCAGAAUGUGAUGAAACUUCCAUCUUGCUGUCAUUUUAAUGUUUGCAUUCUUAAUAAUGUAAUGUGUUUCUGAAAACACUUUCAAUAAGAUGAUCUGUAUGUUGUUUGAGAACGACAUAGUCAACUUAAAUUGUUCCUUUACCAGAGGACCAAACUGUGUUAAAGAGAGACGUUCAAAAUCUUCCAUUUUCAAUAAACACCAUAGUUUUAAUAAUAGUUUUUCAAAGUUAUACUAUUUAAAGAGUGGAUUCUUUGCACAGCAAUAACUACUUAUAAGACUAAGAGGAUAAGCCUGUGUUGCUUCACUAGUACAAUAAUUGUAAGUAGAUUAUUAUUCAAACAUUUUAAAUUGCAGAUUCAUGUAAAAGCACAUUUUGUAGCUAGAUCUUCAUUUCUGUAUUGAUUAGUUCUGUCUUCAUGAGACUGCAUUUUCCUGAAGUGUCAAAUUUUGUGAGAAGCAAUGUCACAAAUCUUUCUGCCUUAUAUGUAAGCUUGUUAAUUCAUAACUGUUAUUCGAUAUAGUGUUCAGUGAAACUUGGAUGUGCUCCAGAAUCUGUAAAUUAACUGUUUCCAUAAUAGUCUUUAGUGUUGUUGUAAUACCCAUUUUUUGACAUCGAAUAUUUUUAUCUAACUUCUUAAAAAUUUGUCUUACAAGUACAGAGACAUUAUUUUUUAUUAAUAUUUCAUCAUGAUUUAUUUGGACAGUAAAAUAUGUUAAUAACUUUAUAAGCAAUACUGUGAUAGUGUAUGUUUGUGUUGAAAUGUUUGAGUUCGUGGGAAAUAAUAAACGAUGUUAUGCUUCUGCCUGUUUGGGAAUAUGUUGUCAGUCUCAUAUUUUGCAGGCAGACUUAAGUGCUGUAGUUACCUGAUUGACAGUUUAUUAGGCACACAAUUUUAUGUGAAACUUUUGUAAAUCUUCAAUAAGAAAAGGAAUAUGAGAGUUCUUCUUAAACACCAAUAUAUACUAGAGAAUCGGCUAAGCAUCAAGCAGUGGUAUUAUUGCUUGCCAUAUAAUUUAGGCAGUUGCCAUAUAAAUAAAAUUUGUGGAAUACCAUAUUAUGUACUUACAUACACAAGUACUGUAUUUUUAUUGAAACAAAGUGAACAGGUAUGUAAAAUGAGCUCCAGCUGGAAAGCUGGUUAUUGAUCUUUAUUUUUUAAAAAUUCUGGAUUGCUAUUUGGAAGUGCUGUCCCCCAUGUGUGGUUCUUGCACACUGCUAGACAAGAUUGAUUUAACAAACCUUUGUACCGUAUGAAAACUAAGGAGGCCACAUAAAGAAACAUUAAACUAAAAUUUGAGAUAACCUGAAGUAAGUCUGGGAAUUAGUGUUUAAGCUAUCCCUGUAGUCCCCCCCCCCCCCUCCCUCCCUCCAUCACCAGAAAAAAAAGAAAAGGGAAAAAAAAUUACUGCCUAACCUUUCCUUCUUCCCCAUCUGCACUACAGUGUGUGUGUGUGUGAGCGUGCGCAUGCAUGCAUGCAUGCAUGCAUGCAUGCAUGCACAUGCAUUUGAGAUCAUCUGUAAAGAAGUACAGCAUAUUUAAAGUGGGGCAUUGGGUAGUGCCAAGUCAGUAGGCUUUAGUAUGGAAGAAGGAUAUUUAAAUCUAUGACAUUGCUAUAUUUUUAGUGCAUACGGGGAGUAUUCCUUUUAAUUGCAAGUUAUAAUUUAUUUAAAAAGCUGUAUUUGAAAACAUUUGCUUAGAGCUAGUUGAAUAGACAUGUAAUUGACUUUUUCAACAAUAAAGUCCUGUUAAUAACUAUAUAAUUUAUACGUACACAUUCCAGUUAAAAACAUUAAAAACAAAUAUGUAUGUAGUAUAGUUUAAUGAGAAAUUAUUUUCUAAUUAUGGCUGUUUCAUCAAGCACUCUUUUAAGUUGCCAUUAAAUUAUUGGUGGAUGAAAACUUAUUUACUUCAAAAGUUUUUUCAGUAGUGUUAGUUUUAAAUAUAUUUAUUUAUUUUUACAAGUUAGCAGAUAAAUUAAUAAAAGACACAGUUAAAGUGGUUGUUAAAUUUCCAUGUAUUUCACAUCCUGAACCCUCUUUCAUGUUUGUAAUGUCUGGAUGCCUAAAAAUUUCUCAUCUUGGCCAUGUUUCUGACAAAUCUGCCAAUCAUGGGUCUUAAGGGUAUGCCAUGUUCUCACUCAGUUUGUGGUGAGUAUGAAUAUAUGAAGAGGAAGCGUGCACGAGCCACACCUUUUCACUUGAAGGCAAUUUUGGAAGAAAAAGACAUUAUUGUUAUCAAAUGACAUACAUCACAGUAGGAGUUGAAACGUACAGUGCAAUGCUAUCCCAUUAUAUCGUUGUUGUUGUUGAUGUUGUUAUUGUUGCUGCUGCUGUUGUUGUUGUUGGUAAUUUAGACCAAAUCUCCUUAAGUGUUUAACUGAUGUGGCCUGUCAAAGAAGAAACGUUGAUUUUCCUAUUAAUUAAUUAUUUUUGUUAAUGUAUUGAAUAGAUUUUGCAAAAGAAAUGAAACGUUAUAAAACUGACCCAGCAUAAUUUUCUCAGACAUUUUGUUGCCUUGUGUUGUUAGUGCAAUAGUAAUGUUACAAUGUAUGUAUUUUCCUUAAUGUAUUAUAAAGCAUUGUAGGCUAUAGAUAAUAUAGUAAUGUUGACAUAUUGAUAUAUAUAGCUUCUUCAGAUAGAGCAAAUUCAUAUUUUCAUAUUUGCUUUCAUGUGACCAAACACACACUUCUCAUUAUCAUGAGAGUUUUAAUGUAAACUAACAAUUGUUAAUGUGUAAGAAAUACAUUGAAACUUAGAAAUACGGGUCAUUUGGAACUAGUGAGCACAUAGUGUAAAUUCAAUAAAUUUUUAAUGCAUUUUUACAACAUUUUCUUGUACUGUUGCUGUGUUCGAUUUUUACAUAAAUAUUGCCUAGUACAAAUUUGAUUUCAAAAAAGUGUCUUAAGAUUUUAAAAGAUUGGAAAGGUGGAAGACAUGAUCAGUUUCAUUUUUACAUAGUUAUGAAUGUCAUUUUUGUCUUUUUCUAUCUAAUACAUUUCAUUGAUGCUGUUUUGUUGAAUGCAGCCUUUGUAAGUGAUGCAAAGGAUUCCUUACCUAACACACUUGAUUUUUCUGCAUGUAACAGCAUUCAUCUUCUUCUCUCCCAAAAAUGCAGUCAUCUCUUUUCAGCAAGAUAGUGUUCUUGAGUGCCUCACUUGUAAGGCUGAAAGUCAAAGAUUUACAAAAUUAAUGGUAGAAAAAAAGUUUCAUAGGUAUAUGUGAUUCAGUACAUUUGUCCAGUUUUAGUUCUCUCUCUCUCUGUCUCUCUGUCUCUCUGUCUGUGUGUGUGUGUGUGUGUGUGUGUGUGUGUGUGUGUGUGUGUCGUAAUGUUGAAUGUUUCCUGUAGUUUAUCUCUCGUCUCUCUUAAAUCUUGAAAUAUUUCAGCUAAAAAUUUUAGAUAAUUGUACUGAUAAGUGUAUUAAAGCUUCUAAAAUAUUGGAACUUCUUAAUUAGGAAGGUACUGAAAUUGACUCUAAAUAUUGUUGAGGUCAAUAACAAUGUGCUAAAAAUCCAUGAAACUAAAAUGGUUUCAUCUCACAGGUGGAAAGACAGAGCAAGAAAAAAGUUUUCCUUUUUCUUACUUGCUUAACUCUUUCCUUCCUUUCUUACUUCCUCCUUGCUUAUUCUUCAGAUUCAUCAAAUGGCCAAUGCUCAUUUGAGCAGUAAUGUGUGAUGACAGAAUUGACACUUUUAUCAUCAUGAUGUACUAAAUCAAAUGUUGUGAUAUUGCUGUGUAAAAGAAAUUUAAGGAUUAAGGCCACCUGUGUGUUAAUAUUACUGUUGUUAUUGUUAUUAUUUUUAUUAGUAAUAUUGAGAUGGACAAAUGUAAAAAGAAAAUAAGUACUCAGAGUUCUGUGUACUGUAACUGUGCAUUUAGUUUAAAAAAGGACCAUUAGAAUUGUGUUUCCAGCUUUCCCCCCCCCCCCCCCCCUCCCCGCCCCUCCCUCCUCCCUUCCCUCCCUUUACAGUUACACAAAUGUAAUGUAUCUUGCUAUUUUGUUCCUGAAAAAGUUCUGUCAUUGAAAAUACCAGCAUUUAAACUGUCAUUUUUAAACUAAUGACAGAAUCUUUCUAGUGUUCUGAAACAUAUUGUUUAUAUGUGAAACAAUAUUUUUAGGAUGAAAGGAUGUUGUCCAUUUUUUAUCUUGUAGUGUUACAGUUGUUCUGCGACAGUGAAAAGUAAUAUAAGUGCCUGAAAUUUGAUUUUGUAAUAGGGGAAAUUACAUACCACAUUGCCCUUUGACCCAGAAAAGUUGCUGUACAUCUUACCACCUUAGGAUGCUUUCCUAUUUCUCAUUUUCGACAAAGCACCUUCGUUGAAGCAAGUCACUUAAUUCCAUUGUAAUAGUACCAGUAGCUAUACUAGUAAUGAUAGUUAAUGCACAUUAAGAAAGAAAGUAUGGCAAAUUAAAAUAUCCUUCAGAAAUGCCACUAAACUUGUAUAAUUAAAACAUUAUCAGAUAAACAUAAUUUAUGAUGCCCGUAAAUAAAUCACCUUCUGCUUAGUAUGUUGACAAUGUUUGUUGAGGAUAAAUAGUAUAAUUAUAUAACAGCAGUUUAGAAACACUAUAGAAUGUAACUUCAGUCUCUAGUCACAUAAUUGCAGUUUAUGAUGGCAUAAUAAACUUGUUUCCUGUUCCUUUGAUAUUAACUGAAUAAAUUAAUUUUGCCAGA